rnacentral:rRNA from 1 species
UACGAAGGGGGCUAGCGUUGUUCGGAAUUACUGGGCGUAAAGCGCACGUAGGCGGCUUUGUAAGUUAGAGGUGAAAGCCCGGAGCUCAACUCCGGAACUGCCUUUAAGACUGCAUCGCUAGAAUUGUGGAGAGGUGAGUGGAAUUCCGAGUGUAGAGGUGAAAUUCGUAGAUAUUCGGAAGAACACCAGUGGCGAAGGCGACUCACUGGACACAUAUUGACGCUGAGGUGCGAAAGCGUGGGGAGCAAACAGG